AGAGUUUGAUCCUGGCUCAGGACGAACGCUGGCGGCGCGCCUAACACAUGCAAGUCGAACGAGAGAGAGGGAGCUUGCUCCCUUGAUCGAGUGGCGAACGGGUGAGUAACGCGUGAGGAACCUGCCUCAAAGAGGGGGACAACAGUUGGAAACGACUGCUAAUACCGCAUAAGCCCACGGCUCGGCAUCGAGCAGAGGGAAAAGGAGCAAUCCGCUUUGAGAUGGCCUCGCGUCCGAUUAGCUAGUUGGUGAGGUAACGGCCCACCAAGGCGACGAUCGGUAGCCGGACUGAGAGGUUGAACGGCCACAUUGGGACUGAGACACGGCCCAGACUCCUACGGGAGGCAGCAGUGGGGAAUAUUGCACAAUGGGGGAAACCCUGAUGCAGCGACGCCGCGUGGAGGAAGAAGGUCUUCGGAUUGUAAACUCCUGUUGUUGAGGAAGAUAAUGACGGUACUCAACAAGGAAGUGACGGCUAACUACGUGCCAGCAGCCGCGGUAAAACGUAGGUCACAAGCGUUGUCCGGAAUUACUGGGUGUAAAGGGAGCGCAGGCGGGAGAACAAGUUGGAAGUGAAAUCCAUGGGCUCAACCCAUGAACUGCUUUCAAAACUGUUUUUCUUGAGUAGUGCAGAGGUAGGCGGAAUUCCCGGUGUAGCGGUGGAAUGCGUAGAUAUCGGGAGGAACACCAGUGGCGAAGGCGGCCUACUGGGCACCAACUGACGCUGAGGCUCGAAAGUGUGGGUAGCAAACAGGAUUAGAUACCCUGGUAGUCCACACCGUAAACGAUGAUUACUAGGUGUUGGAGGAUUGACCCCUUCAGUGCCGCAGUUAACACAAUAAGUAAUCCACCUGGGGAGUACGACCGCAAGGUUGAAACUCAAAGGAAUUGACGGGGGCCCGCACAAGCAGUGGAGUAUGUGGUUUAAUUCGACGCAACGCGAAGAACCUUACCAAGUCUUGACAU
rnacentral:rRNA from 1 species